AGCCUGAUGCAGCGACGCCGCGUGGGGGAUGACGGCCUUCGGGUUGUAAACCUCUUUCAGCACAGACGAAGCGCAAGUGACGGUAUGUGCAGAAGAAGCACCGGCCAACUACGUGCCAGCAGCCGCGGUAAUACGUAGGGUGCGAGCGUUGUCCGGAAUUACUGGGCGUAAAGAGCUCGUAGGUGGUUUGUCGCGUUGUUCGUGAAAACUCACAACUCAAUUGUGGGCGUGCGGGCGAUACGGGCAGACUGGAGUACUGCAGGGGAGACUGGAAUUCCUGGUGUAGCGGUGGAAUGCGCAGAUAUCAGGAGGAACACCGGUGGCGAAGGCGGGUCUCUGGGCAGUAACUGACGCUGAGGAGCGAAAGCGUGGGGAGCGAACAGGAUUAGAUACCCUGGUAGUCCACGCCGUAAACGGUGGGUACUAGGUGUGGGUUUCCUUCCUUGGGAUCCGUGCCGUAGCUAACGCAUUAAGUACCCCGCCUGGGGAGUACGGCCGCAAGGCUAAAACUCAAAGAAAUUGACGGGGGCCCGCACAAGCGGCGGAGCAUGUGGAUUAAUUCGAUGCAACGCGAAGAACCUUACCUGGGUUUGACAUGCACAGGACGUGCCUAGAGAUAGGUAUUCCCUUGUG
rnacentral:rRNA from 1 species